AGCCACGGCUAAUUCCGCGCCCGCAGCCGCGGUAAUACGGGAGUGGCAAGCGUUAUCCGGAAUUAUUCGGCGUAAAGCGUCCGCAGGCGGCCCAACAAGUCUGCUGAUUCAAAGUGGAGCUUAACUCCAUCAGGGCAGUGGAAACUGAAGGGCUUGACUGUGGUAGGGGCAGGGGGAAUUCCCGGUGUAGCGGUGAAAUGCCUACAUAUCGGGAACAACACCAGUGGCGAAGGCGCUCUGCUGGGCCUUCACUGACGCUCAUGGACGAAAGCCAGGGGAGCGAAAGGGAUUUGAUACCCCUGUAGUCCUGGCCGUAAACGAUGAACGCUAGCUGUCGGGGGAAUCGACCCCCCCCGGGGUCGUAGCCAACGGUAUAACGUU
rnacentral:rRNA from 1 species